rnacentral:lncRNA from 1 species
CUAAUAAGACAUCCCUUUUCUUCAAUUCAAAUAAGUGGAGCUACUGCACAUUUCAAAUCAUAAACUUAAUUUUUCUGCUGCUGUCAAUGUACUAGAUGAACUUAGUAAAAUUGCAUGGUUCUUUAUCACGCUGGACUGGAAUUAAUGUCAACUGCAUUCAAGUCUCAAACCCUGGAACUAGUUCUGUCCUCUAUAAUCAUGGAUAUCCCCAGAAUCCUCUGCAACUCUUGGCAGCAUCCAAUCUACCAAGCAUUCCCCGGAGAGAAAAACAGAAGCUGUUUUUCUGCCAGGGAAGUGAUGAGCUUCUUUUUAGCAGGUGGUCAAAAGCUAUGCCAGAGCUAUGACUUCCAACACUGCUUUUGAAAGAAUAACAUGCCUGCAGUCAGGGCAGAAGAAGGCUGCAAAGAAGGAUCACCUAUACCCCAUUAACAAAGAUUAGCGUCACUCCCUAAUAGUGUGGCUUUGGGAGCCAGCAUUUAAAGCCUGUCACCGACAGUGUUCCUUAUUUAUGUUCGCAGACAAGUGAUCACGGGGCUUUGAGCAUGACUUUCUUGGAAGGGCACAGCAAGACAGAUAAUGGGACUUAACCUGGUCUCAGAACUGUUGCUGAGAAAAACAGCUGGCAUUACCCUCUCACUUUGAAACUGUGUUGUCCAAUGCAGUAACCCUAUAUGGCUAUUUAAAUCCAAAUCAAUUACAGUUAGAUAAGAUUACUGUCCACAUAGCCAAGACGGUGGCUAGUGGUUACCAUACUGGACAGUGCAGAUAUGAUUUCCAACAUCCCAGGAAGUUCUAAGAUGAGUGCCACAUCUUCCUCCUCUGCCAUCUUGAUGCCACCUCCCUCUUUGCAGGUCUCAGUGAGGAGUGGCCCCUCCAAAAUGGGGCUGCUCCCCCAGUGAUCCCACAGACAGUGGAUGAGCAAGGAGCACAGGCACAUCAAGGACCUCCUGGAGGAGAGCUGUCAGGGUGAGGAUGAAGGAAUUCCUCCCGACUCAAGCCAAGUGAGGGACCACUCCAAGGAAUAUGCUUGCACAGCUUGGCAUGCUUCCCUAAAGAACUGCUCUCUGAACAUCUCCCGGAAGAAUCCCGAGGGGAGAAGGUACCUGGGAGAACUCCAGUGGCUGACUGAGAAGAGGGGGUUUCCGGGAGUAGCCAGUAUUUCCAGAGGGCAUGGGGCCAAGGUGCCGCUUGGGAAGAUGACUUGAUGCAGGUGUAAAGGUUCACCCCGUCAGAGGUCUACCUACCAGGGCAUAUUGACUCUCAGGGAAUCUGGGCAGAGUGGGCUAACCAUCGGGGGUAAGAGAGGACCCCUAAGUGGUCAUCACAGGAAGCCUUGACCAGCCCGGUAGAUAUUCCUAUGAGGAGCCUCAGCAGAGUCCUCGAAAUUGGGAAUCCAGGAGAUAAAGGGUCCACACUUGAGAAUAUGCUACUUUGAGGUCACAAACACUAAAUCACAACUGUAACCUUCAGGAAAGACCUUUUGGCACCACCUUCCAAACACACCCCCACUCCACCCCAGCCAACCUCUACUUUCUGUCUUUCUUCAGCCCCAAGGAACAAGCAAGAUGAGCAAAAUAAGAGACUAAAAAACAAACAAACAAACAAAUAGGGAAAAACAUACUACCCACCUCUGACCCACUGUAGGCUUCUAAGGCUAAUCAGACCAAGAGCUGCUGGUGGACAGAGGAACUUUACACGGGAAAGACUGAAGUCGCACUGGACCCGCUCGUCAGCAUUGAACGUGACAAUGAAAGUGCUCAUCAACCUAAAGCUUACUGGGAAACUUAGGUAUCUUCCCAUGAAAGCAUGCAGGGGUGGAGAAGAGAGGACCAAGAGAGGAGCUAAGACAGCGACGUGAGAAAAUAAAGCCGUUGUAUGAUUUCACUCGACAAACUCAGAAGGUUCUAGAAGAAAUGUGUGAGACAGGUGCAGCCCAAGUAGGACAGCAGGAUGUGAUAACCCAUGAGGAGGUGAUGGUGAGUGCACAACAUUAAGAAUGACACCAGAGAGCUGCCAGUUUGGGAAAGCAGACUACUUGUCAUGGCAACGCCAGGAGGCAUAAAGAAUUAGCUCCAUCUGACACAGAGGAAAUGGCAGCUCAAAGAAGUUCAAUAACUGGCCCAAGAACACUAGUGAGUGGCAGAGCCGGGAUGCCCCUGGUGGGGCUCUUAACCACCCCACUGCCACUUCGGCACAGAGCGACCUUGAACGGAGGCCCUUUUCAAGAAGUGGCUCAUGCGCAUCCCCAGUUCUGAAACUCUCUGGCAGAAAGUAGGGCAGAGUUGAUGCUGCCUUCCAAUAUCCAUUCCCCCGCUUUCCUUAGCAAGAGGGCACCGUGUACCAGAACUUUCCCAAAGGCAAAGCAAGAGUUUGAAGGUGUCCUCCUUGGUACUGUUAGGAGUGGAUGGCUGGAGCUCCACUGGCGAUCUUGGACCAUGAGGUAACUGUAAAGCCAUUUGCAAAGCCAUACACUACAAAGUACCGAUGUCUCUGGAUUUAUUUUGUGUUGGAGUUGCCAUACCCGGCUGGACUGCCUGUCUCCAGACUUCUUUCAGAUGAGAGGAGAAACCAUUGUUUCAGGUUUUUGUACAGGCAGCCUACCCCUGAUCCUAACUGGGAAAUCAGAAAGCCCACUGGAGAGGUUAUACGCCUCGAAUUUCAAAGUCUCACGCGCCUCCUUCAAAAGCAUCUUACCCACAUGUCCGUGGGCUGUGAAAAGUUCCUGCAGAUGGCCUCCCCGUGGUGGAGAGUGUGUAUGUCCAUGACUGCCGUCUUCGGAUUGGAUUUGAACCUGAGGAUGCCCACACCUCCGACAGGCAUAAACUCCCAGACACCGCCUCCAUCACUGGUUGUCUUGGGGAGGUAUUUUUUAAAACAUUUCCUAGCUAUUUCUUUUGCUCUUCCUUCCCACCCCCAUCCCCGUGCCAGGGAGAGAGGGAAAAAAAUUUAGCCAGGCAAUUGUACAUCCAAUUCCCUUUCUUAAUUAGACUCGAAACAUUUGGAAAGCAGUGGCAUAGUCGCUUGAAGAGCAUUUGCAAAUUAUCCACGAGUGCAAAGCUAGCACAUUAAGGAAAGCAACGGGGGUCGGAGAAGACGUUCCAAGCUGGUGGAGAGGGCGACCCAGAUCCCCAGAGGCAGCUGUCAAUCAUGGCUGGUGGGAGGCGGGGAGCUCCUAAUUCCUUCUCUCAUUGCCAGCCACACGCUAAGAAGGGCUCGCGUGAAAUAUUAAAAAAAAAAAAAAAAAAAGGAAAAAAAGCGCCGACAGCACCGCUAUGAAAUCUCUCAUCCCAAACUAACACAACACAGUGCCUAAUGGAUUUUAGGGAAGCAGUCAAAUAUAUAAUCAUUUCCUGGUAGCGGAGAUUAGAUUUCAUACACCACAGCUCAGCCCAAACUUAAGUGGAGAGAAAUAAAGAACAGAGUUCCUUUUCCAAAAGAAAAAUAUACUUCUAAUCCACUGACAGACCAGUAACUCUGCCUCCCAAACUCUGCAGUCUCGGGGAAGAGAGCAGUUAUCUUGGUCCUGAGUAUUUUCUGACUUUGCUGGUUCUUGGGAACCACUUGUGUUGUAACAGGUGUAGGAACCGCCUAGAGCAGACCCUGGGCUGUCUUCUCCCAGAAAAUGGUAAUGAGCAGGUUGGCGCACAGCAAGCACUCAGUGGAUGCUGACUCUGACAACGCCGAUACCUCCCAAGACGGGCCAGGCUAUUUCAUUUUUAGACGGUUCUAAUGAAAAAGUUAUUCCUUGAGCGGGGCUAACGUCGAUUCCUCUGUAGCUUUCACUCCUGGUUCUAUUUCUGGUUUGGAAAGGCACAUGGGACACACCCAGACUCUCUUCCCUGUGGUGGUCCCUCCAGGAUGCAAAGUAGAUGUACCACCAAUAUCUUCCUUCUCUGGCCUAAAAGAGCCACGGCUUCUGCCUUAAAGGUUCCAGUCUAGCAUGCUUGGGGCUCUCAGCAUGGCCAAGGGCAAAAAGCUGUAUUCUACCCUUAGGUACUCGGAGGAGGUGUGCAGACCGAGCAGGAGCCCCGAGGGGGACCACUUCUUGGGGUUGACAGUUCCCAGGGCUCCCUCAUGCCUUGCACAGAGGGGGGAGCAAUAAAUCAAUAAAUGAUUGCAUGGGAGUUUCUGUUGUGGCUCAGCACUAAUGAACCCAACUAGUAUCCAUGAGGACGCAAGUUCAAUCCCUGGCCCCCUUCAGUGGGUUAAGGAUUCGGCACUGCUGUGAGCUGCAGUGCAGACCAAAAACUUGACUCUGAUCUGGCAUUACUGCAGCUGUGGUGUAGGCUGGCAGCUGUGGCUCCAAUUCGACCCCUAGCCUAGGAACUUUCAUAUGAUAUGCCUCAAGUAUGGUCCUAAAGUUAAAAAAAAAAAAAAGAUUUCAUGAAUGAUUAUGAUUUUUAUUGAAUUAAAGCCCAAAUUCUUUUGCUUGUUCCUGUAUGUACUUUGAUCACGGUGUUUGGAUGGGACCUAGGACUCUAUUUGGGUCCGUUUCUGCUCCUUUUCACCUCGUUAUAGCCCAUGGGAAUUCCAGCAUGUUGAGAUCUUUUGGUUUCAUGAUUUAAUCAUAUCACAAAUGACCUGUCCCUCCCAGCGUCAUCAGCCCAUGACACUAAAAACUCAGUAAAGGGACUGAGGGUGAUUGGGAACAUUACCUAGUGCAGCAGAUCUGUGCCAGGUCAGGGGAUGGCGCAGAGAAACAGAUCAGAGGGAUUCAGAAAGUCUGAGGUGCCGCUCAAGAGGACAUGCAGGCAGAAGGGAGGGGGAAAAGGUGACAGGUCGUGGAGUCAUUGCUUAACUCUAACAGACAAGCAGGGGACGCUAUGAGGCCAUAGAGGGUCAGGGGCCACGCGCGCACGCACACGAUGCCUCAAGCUCCCAGCAGCCUUCUGGCAUCAAGAACGAAACUGCUACCUCUGAUACAUGAGGAGCCUUUAGCUGUGCCUUAAACACGCCCCCAGCGGGGAAGGCAGCAUUUGGGGUACCACUCCUGGAUGUGGCCCCUGCACUGCUUCCGUUUCAGCCUGCUGAGCACGGAGCAGAUAGGAACUUUACUGGCUCCAACAAAGAAAGAAUCCCUGGAGGAUGACAAUGAGGCUAUGUUUUAUCCUGAAUUACAAGCACCGGAGUUAGGAGGACGAUGUCUAGGUUUUACUGACGACCACCAUGUGAAACAUGCAAAUCACUCAAAGACGGAGAAGAGGAGACGCUGCUGUUGGGAAUCUCUGAAAAGAGUAUCUCGCCGCCAUGGAAGGAGAAAAGCUGGGACAAGAAAUGAAAACUCAGAAUUCAAGAGCGAAACUGUAGAAUAGAGAGGGGUUGGGUCUUGGGGUCCACACAUUGGGAAAAAAAUCGAGAUAAAAAUCAUUGCUAACUUAAUUCUGUCUAUCAGAAAGGGCUCACUAGUAACAAAAAAACCCCACAAAAACUCUACUCCCUGUUUGUCAACUCAGCUGUGUCUCAGACAACAUGUCAAUUUGUUUAAAACACACACAGAAAGAAGCAGCUUCUCUUCCAGUUGACAGAGCAAAAAUCCUUUGCUCUUCUGUCCAGCAACCCGAAGAAAAACAAGGGAAUUUGUGGCUUGGUUUCCUUGACAACCUUAUCUUCACGCCAGGCGCCAUCUCCUGUCUCUAAGCAACGGGGCACUCUUCAGAAUUACCAGGAGGUAAAACCCAGCACUUAUCCGGAGUCUAGGAGGACCAAGCCAAUCAGGGCAGAGCAACUGGUCCCUUUCGGGGCAGAACCCCGGGAGCAUGGAAAGGUACAUGGUCCCAAAUGUCCUCACCAGACCCCAUACACACCCCAGCAUCCCCCCAAGUCCUUAGUGCCUGGAAUUCCACCUCGACACUCCCCGCCCCCCACCCUGGCUUAUUCCUCUGUCCUCUGGAGGGGUCGGUGACUCAGUUCAUCAGCUGGCUUUUCCCACAUGCCCCCCUCUGCCAACAGAAAAGCCCUCCGUGGCCCUGGUAUGAAGGAGAGGUAGACCCAGGACUCAGGGCAGGAAAAGGAAAACAAAAAGACGCCGCCGUGACUUAGGGAUUUUCGUAAACAAAUGGCUUUGCUGGAGGACACUGUUUGAUUAAAAGGGGAUGAGAGAAAAAUGCCUAUUUUGCUGUCCUGACAUUUAAGAAGACUUCGUUUGCACCUGAAAACAGGAUGCCAAGAUUUGUCUUUCUUCCCAGACCAGCAGGCGCCCCACCGCUUCCCUAGCAUCUCUGCACCGGGAAGGAUUUCUGAGCAUAUACAGAAGAGGAGCUAAUAACAAAAUCUCUGGAAAUGACAGCUCUGAACUUUAAUCACAGCAAGAGAAGAGAGCUGAUGACUGCAAAGCUCGGAAGCAGAAAGGGAAGGGAAUUUAGAAGGGGAAGGUGCCAACCAAGAGCACUUCCCACUGGCACGUCCCGUCAUCAGCAUCACUGCUGUUUACCUGGUACCUUUGGCUCAUUUCCCACGACCACAUUUUAUUCUCAUACCACCUGUGAAGCAGGGAGUGGGCCGGAAUUAUUCACCUUCCUUCCUUCAACUCAGAAAGCUGCUGUGCAUAAUGAUCACACACAUUUAUUCUCCGAAUAAGAGCAAAAC